rnacentral:snoRNA from 1 species
UUUCAAUGAAGAUAACUUUGUCCAGUUCUGCUACUGAAUGCAAGUGGUGAUAAUAAAGACUCUGAGAAA